CGCUUGUGACCAGACUUGGGCGCGGCGGAUCAUCCGGGGUUCUCUCCGGUGCACUUCGCCGCGUCUAGGCCAGCAUCAGUUCGUCGCGGGGGAAAAAGGCUUCGGGAACGUGGCUCCUCCGGGAGUGUUAUAGCCCGUUGCAUAAUACCCUGCGGUGGACUGAGGACCGCGCAUCUGCAAGGAUGCUGGCGUAAU
rnacentral:rRNA from 3 species